rnacentral:rRNA from 1 species
CCUACGGGUGGCAGCAGUGAGGAAUAUUGGUCAAUGGGCGAGAGCCUGAACCAGCCAAGUCGCGUGAGGGAGUACUGCCCUAUGGGUUGUAAACCUCUUUUGUCGGGGAGCAAAAGCCGGACGUGUCCGGCUGUGAGAGUACCCGAAGAAAAAGCAUCGGCUAACUCCGUGCCAGCAGCCGCGGUAAUACGGAGGAUGCGAGCGUUAUCCGGAUUUAUUGGGUUUAAAGGGUGCGCAGGCGGAUUUUUAAGUCAGCGGUAAAAUCGUGGGGCUCAACCCCAUCCAGCCGUUGAAACUGGGGAUCUAGAGUGUGCGAGAGGUAUGCGGAAUGCGUGGUGUAGCGGUGAAAUGCAUAGAUAGCACGCAGAACCCCGAUUGCGAAGGCAGCAUACCGGUGCACAACUGACGCUCAGGCACGAAAGCGUGGGUAUCGAACAGGAUUAGAUACCCCUGUAGUC